UACGAAGGGGGCUAGCGUUGUUCGGAAUCACUGGGCGUAAAGCGCGCGCAGGCGGUCUUCCAAGUCAGUGGUGAAAGCCUGGAGCUCAACUCCAGAACUGCCAUUGAAACUGUUAGACUUGAGUACGAGAGAGGUGAGUGGAAUUCCCAGUGUAGAGGUGAAAUUCGUAGAUAUUGGGAAGAACACCAGUGGCGAAGGCGGCUCACUGGCUCGUAACUGACGCUGAGGCGCGACAGCGUGGGGAGCAAACAGG
rnacentral:rRNA from 1 species